GGCUGGGGGAGAGGGAGGAUCCUACUUCCUUUUUCCAUGUGUAGAUUACCACAUUCAAUAUUUCAUUAGUUGUUCAUGGAACAAUUGCUGAGAACAUGGAUUUUAUGGAGGAUGAUUCAAAUCCAUAUGCUGUUCCAAUGGCUAUGGGCAUUUAGCGUAGGCUGGAGAGUCCUUUGGAUAUCACUACAAGUACUAUUAUCAAGAGGAUUGUUGCUAAUCAUGAAGCUUACCAGGUAGCUAAUGUGAUCUUUUAUAUGCAGUAUGCAGCAUGUGGUUUGAUUUCGUAUUCUUCAUAUCAGUGAUGCGCAUAUGGGAGCUAUUGUGUACUGAUACUGUGCUGAUGCAUUUUUGCUUGAGUAAAGCUUCUUGCAUGUGUACAUUAAAUUCUAGUUGUUUCCUGGGAUCAAUAUUUCUCUCUUGUACUAUGUGUUGGCAACAUGUUCUUUGAUGUUGGGUUUGUGUGGUUUUUUAUUUAUUCCGGUGCAUCAAUCUGGUGUGGUUUGUAUUCAUAUUUGUUGUGCCCUCUUAAUUCUUGGAGAAGCGGAACAAGAAGAAGGAAGCCACUGAGAAGAAGUGCUAUGAGAGUAAAAGCUUUGUCAAUAGGGAGUGAGUCGUGAGUAGCAGAACUUUCAUGAAAAUUGUUGCCCGGGUCAUUUUAGAUCCCGACCUUUGGCAAAGGUAAUAGUUGGGUGAUCCACAGUUUUACCCUUUCCUUUUCUUCAGCAUUUUUGAUGUUCUGCUGACAUAGCUUAGGAAGCAUCAGGUUCAGCGUUGUUGAGUGACUAGCAGAGGUGAUAACCUCGGCGAGGUUAGAGGUAUUUCCAUUGUUUUUCAUCAUUGCCUUCGGCCUAUUUCCUCCAUGUACAUGUGCCUUUUUCGGUUGUUGUUAC